CCUACGGGAGGCAGCAGUGAGGAAUAUUGGUCAAUGGACGAGAGUCUGAACCAGCCAAGUAGCGUGAAGGAUGACUGCCCUCUGGGUUGUAACCUUCUUUUAUAAAGGAAUAAAACGCGGCACGUGUGCAUUUUUGCAUGUACUUUAUGAAUAAGGCUCGGCUAACUCCGUGCCAGCAGCCGCGGUAAUACGGAGGAUCCGAGCGUUAUCCGGAUUUAUUGGGUUUAAAGGGAGCGUAGAUGGGUUGUUAAGUCAGUUGUGAAAGUUUGCGGCUCAACCGUAAAAUUGCAAUUGAUACUGGGAGUCUUGAGUACAGUUGAGGUAGGUGGAAUUCGUGGUGUAGCGGUGAAAUGCUUAGAUAUCACGAAGAACCCCGAUGGCGAAGGCAGCUUACUAAACUGUGAAUGACAUUGAGGCUCGAAAGUGUGGGUAUCAAACAGGAUUAGAUACCCCUGUAGUC
rnacentral:rRNA from 1 species